GUUUCUGUAACAAAUCCAAAUCUUUGCUUGAUCUGUACUUAAUUGUUCUGUGUUAAAAUUUGUUACUGUUUGUUUUCAUUCAGAACAGAAUAAUAGGCGUUGGUUACUUUUGUAAGGGAAACACUGUAAAGAACAGAACAAGUUGUCUAUAAUUCUCUAAUGAACCAGCAUUGUCUCUGUUUUGUUAAGGUCCUUUUGAGCUUGUCUUUUUAAUAUCAUUAUUACAUUCCCGGUAAAACUUUUUUUGGUGUUUUUUGCCUUGGCAUGGUAUUACUAUAUUCACAUUCUUUUUAGUUGAGGUAGUGUAAAGGUUUUUAAUAUCAUUAUUACAUUCCUGGUAAAACAUUUUUUGGUGUUUUUUGCCUUGGCAUGGUAUUACUAUAUUCACAUUCUUUUUAGUUGAGGUAGUGUAAAGGUUUUCCUAAACAUUAGUACAUGAACAAAGUUGUUGUUCAAUAAAAUUGUCCUUUUUGGCACAUUCUAACAUUUAACAAGUUAAACUGCUAUUAUUACCAAAUAUGGUAAGUGUAAUAAGACGAUAACCAACAUCUUUGAGCAUUAAUUACAAAAUUUAUGAGCUGGAAAAAAAGUUAUUUCUGGAAAAAUGUAAUGCUUUAAACUGCCAAGUACUUACAGUGAUGAAAUUGUAAAUUGCCAAUGAGAGCCAAAGUCUUUAAUGGAGGUUCUUUGCAUCUGUUACUGAAAUGUUUAAUUAUCCCCCGCCGAAAGGCUGAGGGGGAUAUAGAAAUAGUCUCCGUCCGUCCUUCCGUCCGACAUUUUUGUCCGGAGCAUAUCUCAAAAAGUAUUUGAGGUAUCAACUUGAAACUUCAUAGGUGGAUAGACCUCAUUGAGGAGGAGUGCAGUGCACAAGAAUGAUAACUCUACCCUGCAUAAUUUUUGAGUUAUUGCCCUUUGUUAUUUUUCAAAAUUAAUUUUUGUCCAGAGCAUAACUCAAAAAGCCUUUGAGAUAUCAACAUGAAACUUCAUAGGUGCAUAGAUCUCACUCAGGAGGUGUGCAGUGCACAAGAAUGAUAACUCUACCUUUCAUAAUUUUUGAGUUAUUGCCCUUUGUUAUUUUUCAUACUUAAUUUUUCACCUGAGUGGAGCAUAACUCAAAAGUGUUUGAGAUGUCAACAUGAAAUGUCAUAGGUGGAUAGAUCUUAUUGAGGAGGAAUGCUGUGCGCAAGAAUGAUAACUCUUCCCUAUAUAAUUUUUGAGUUAUUGCCCUUUGUUCUUUUUCAUACUAUUUUGUCAGGAGCUUAUCUCAAAAAGUAUUUGAGGUAUCAACUUGAAACUUCAUAGGUGGAUAGAUUUUACUGAGGAGGGUGCAGCACACAAGAAUGAUAACCUACCCUGCAUUAUUUUUCAGUUAUUGCCCUUUGUUAUUUUCAGCCAUCAGUAUUCACAUAGGUUUCAAAUCUGUUAUCACUUCAGCCAUCAGUUUUCAUUACCAAAAGACCUCUUAAAAUUGAAUUAUUCUGCUCUACUACAUAUACAUUCUUCCAAUGAGCAAACACAUUCGGCGGGGGAUGGCCAUGUUGACAUGGCUCUUGUUUAUAAUAUUCUGAGCAAUAAAUUGUAAAGGUUGUUUCAGUUUUCUAAUGAUUAUUUUUUCAAAUGUCAGCUCAGUUGUGUUGGGUUUAUUUUUAUUGCAUUCUAUAUGGUUAAGGUAGUGUAAAGGUUUUCAAAAACAUGGACCAGAAUUGAGGUCAACGGGUUUUUUUGUGUAAAAUGUUGUAUUUAAAGCACUUUAACAUCAAUGAUUAAAUAAAUCUUAUCAUAUAUAAUAGUAACUAAUAAUUCUAUAUAAGCAUUUAAACACCCUAGCAGUAAAAAUGUAAUGUUACGUAAGAUAAUAAUAAUGGCAUACAAAAUUGAGAACAGCAAUUUAUCAGAUUAGAAAAAAAUAAAAAAAUUGUGGAAAUGAUGCCUUGAUUAUCAGGUUGUUGCAAGCUAAUGUUCUGUUAUGACUAACCCAGGGAGUCUGGGUGCCCUUUAGCUGACAUUUUCAGCAUUGCAACAAAUGCCAGGCAAAUAUAUGUGUGAUAUCGUCUUCUGUUACAUAUCAUAUAUGAGAUUUAGAAUGUAUACUUUCACUAUCAUAAUGUUAAAGAGAUUAAAGAAAGCAUUAUGAUUAAUAUGACCUUAUUGAUCAACUAUUUUUUAAGCUCGCCCAUACAAAAUGUAUUGAGAGCUGUCCUACUCACUGUGGCCUCCAUGUCUUGUCCAGAUUUCAGAUAAAAGUUUUGGUGCAGUAAAGUAUUUUAA